GGAUUGCCUCAGUAACGGCGAGUGAAGCGGCAACAGCUCAAAUUUGAAAUCUGACUCCUUUUCGGGUUCGAGUUGUAAUUUGGAGAGGGUGUUUCGGGUGCGACGCCGGUCUAAGUUCCUUGGAACAGGACGUCAUAGAGGGUGAGAAUCCCGUAUGCGACUGGCGACCAACCCCAUGUGAAACCCCUUCGACGAGUCGAGUUGUUUGGGAAUGCAGCUCAAAAUGGGUGGUAAAUUUCAUCUCAAGCUAAAUACCGGCCGGAGACCGAUAGCGCACAAGUAGAGUGAUCGAAAGAUGAAAAGCACUUUGGAAAGAGAGUCAAACAGUACGUGAAAUUGUUGAAAGGGAAGCGCUUGCCACCAGACCUGUCCGCGAGCGAUCAACUGCUGUUUUCAGCGGUGCACUCGUUCGCGAUCAGGCCAGCAUCGGUUUGGGUGUCUGGAUAAAGGCCCCGGGAAUGUAGCUUCUCUCGGGGAGUCUUAUAGCCCGGGGUGCAAUGCGGUCAGCCCGGACCGAGGACCGCGCUUCGGCUAGGAUGCUGGCGUAAUGGUUGUAAGCGACCCGUCUUGAAACACGGACCAAGGAGUCUAACAUCUAUGCGAGUGUUUGGGUGUCAAACCCAUGCGCGGAAUGAAAGUGAACGGAGGUGAGAACCCGCGAGGGCGCAUCAUCGACCGAUCCAGAUGUCUUCGGAUGGAUUUGAGUACGAGCAUAGCUGUUGGGACCCGAAAGAUGGUGAACUAUGCGUGAAUAGGGUGAAGCCAGAGGAAACUCUGGUGGAGGCUCGCAGCGGUUCUGACGUGCAAAUCGAUCGUCAAAUUUGCGUAUAGGGGCGAAAGACUAAUCGAACCAUCGCUAUCAGGUGGUUAAUUGGAGGUCAUUGCACCUCGUAGCUCUAGAUCACUGGGAUCAAAAAGCAACACUGCUACUUGCAUAGACGUUUCCUCCUUGAGCAGAUAUGCAGCGACCCCGUGGCGGGGCCGUGCACAGACCAAACAGCAGUGGCCAGUCCCGACUGGUUCAGAUAUGGUCGAGUCCAGCUUGGAAACAAGCUCGCUUCAAGACGCAGCCCCCGAGCGUUAUAACGCUGACAUCGAUCGCAGCGUGCUCUCAACUCAGUUGAGCUGUGGUGGGGCUGUGAUCCGCGUCUUGGAUCGUGGUGCAACGCUAGUAGCUGGUUCCUGCCGAAGUUUCCCUCAGGAUAGCAGUAACGUUUUCAGUUUUAUGAGGUAAAGCGAAUGAUUAGAGGCCUUGGGGUUGAAACAACCUUAACCUAUUCUCAAACUUUAAAUAUGUAAGAAGUCCUUGUUACUUAGUUGAACGUGGACAUUUGAAUGCACCGUUACUAGUGGGCCAUUUUUGGUAAGCAGAACUGGCGAUGCGGGAUGAACCGAACGCGAGGUUAAGGUGCCGGAAUGCACGCUCAUCAGACACCACAAAAGGUGUUAGUUCAUCCAGACAGCCGGACGGUGGCCAUGGAAGUCGGAAACCGCUAAGGAGUGUGUAACAACUCACCGGCCGAAUGAACUAGCCCUGAAAAUGGAUGGCGCUCAAGCGUGCUACCCAUACCUCGCCGCCAGGGUAGAAACGAUGCCCU
rnacentral:rRNA from 1 species